CGGAAACAAUUUUUACUUUAGUGGCGGACGGGUGAGUAACGCGUGGGUAACCUGCCUUAUACAGGGGGAUAACACUUAGAAAUAGGUGCUAAGACCGCAUAAGCGCCCAGGGCCGCAUGGCCCAGGGUGAAAAACUCCGGUGGUAUAAGAUGGGCCCGCGUCUGAUUAGCCAGUUGGCAGGGUAACGGCCUACCAAAGCGACGAUCAGUAGCCGGCCUGAGAGGGUGGACGGCCACAUUGGGACUGAGACACGGCCCAAACUCCUACGGAAGGCAGCAG
rnacentral:rRNA from 1 species